rnacentral:ncRNA from 1 species
CUAGGGAGAUACUAGUUUUCUAGAGCCGAAGGAGCAACGAAGGUCUCGGAAACUCUCAGGCAAAAGGACCGGGGUG